GGUUGGGUAGCUCAGUCGGAAGAGCACUCGCCCUGAAAGCGGGGGGUCCCAGGUUCGAGCCCUGGUCUGGCUU